rnacentral:rRNA from 1 species
UGGGGAAUAUUGGACAAUGGGCGCAAGCCUGAUCCAGCCACGCCGCGUGAGUGAUGAAGGCCCUAGGGUUGUAAAGCUCUUUCACCGGUGAAGAUAAUGACGGUAACCGGAGAAGAAGCCUCGGCUAACUUCGUGCCAGCAGCCGCGGUAAUACGAAGGGGGCUAGCGUUGUUCGGAUUUACUGGGCGUAAAGCGCACGUAGGCGGACUUUUAAGUCAGGGGUGAAAUCCCGGGGCUCAACCCCGGAACUGCCUUUGAUACUGGAAGUCUUGAGUAUGGUGGAGGUGGGUGGAAUUCCGAGUGUAGAGGUGAAAUACGUAGAUAUUCGGAGGAAGACCAGUGGCGAAGGCGGCUCACUGGACCAUUACUGACGCUGAGGUGCGAAAGCGGGGGGAGCAAACAGG